rnacentral:lncRNA from 1 species
UGGUCUAGAAAAAGUGUUAUAGUUGUAUGAUGAGCUUUCAAGCCUUUUUAUUAAGUUAAUUUGCAUAAUUCUAGUUAUUAUAUCAUUAGAAAAGAUAACAUGUAGCUAUAAGCCAAGGAUUUAUUUUCAUGUGUAAGGAUAUCACAUGAUUGUUGACUUUUCCAAUUUAAAAUUAUGCACAAAGAAGGACCUUUAUCAGGUUGGGAACAGCAC